UCCGAGUUUAUCUCGGCAGUCUCAUUAGACACAUGUAACUAACGACGAGGGUUGCGCUCGUUGCGGGACUUAACCCAACACCUCACGGCACGAGCUGACGACAGCCAUGCACCACCUGCGCACAAGUCCCUUGCGGGAGGUUCUGGCUUUCACCAAAAUUUCCUGUGCAUGUCAAACCCAGGUAAGGUUCUUCGCGUUGCCUCGAAUUAAACCACACGCUCCGCUGCUUGUGCGGGCCCCCGCCUAUUCCUUUGAGUUUUAAUCUUGCGACCGUACUCCCCAGGCGGGAUGCUUAAUGCGUUAGCUGCGCCACUGAAGAGCAAGCUCCCCAACGGCUAGCAUCCAUCGUUUACGGCGUGGACUAC
rnacentral:misc_RNA from 1 species